AUGCAUUGGUUCUCAUGGUGGAAGCUAUGUAUACCAAAGUGUGAUGGUGGAAUGGGAUUCCGGGAUUUACAUUCUUUUAACUUGGCACUGCUUGCGAAGCAGUGCUGGAGGUUUAUCACAAAUCCGAAGUCCUUUUGUGCUCGCAUUUUGAAGGCAAAGUAUUACCCACAUACAGAUCUGCUCCAUGCUGGACCAAAAAAUGGGUCUUCAUUCACAUGGCAGAGUUUGAUAGCAGGUUUGACUACAUUUAAAAGGUGUUAUAUUUGGUGAAUUGGUUCAGGAGAAGAUGUUAACAUACGGAAUGAUCCUUAGAUCCCCUUCAGCCCAUACAGGAAAGUGAUAACACCUAGGGGUCAUAUACUAAUAUCGAGAAUGGUGGAGGUUAUUGGUCCAGUUACUGCUCAGUGGGAUGAAUAACUGAUGCGAGACAUCUUUUACCCUGUUGAUGCAAUGAGAAUUCUGCAGAUACCACUAACCUUCCAAGCUUUUAAUGAUUUCAUUGCAUGGCACCUAAAAAAGAAUGGAAGAUUCUCGGUGAAGAGUGCUUAUCAUGAGCAAUGGUCACAUAAAUACAGGGGUCAAUAUCCCUCAAAUUCAACGUCCACCAGUAAUGUGCAAGCAGCAAUUUGGAAGAAACUUUGGGAGUUACAAGUGCCACGGAAGAUUCAGAUUUUUUGUUGGCGGGCAUUGCAAGGAAUUAUCCCAUUGAAAUACAUCCUUGCUAACAAGCAUAUACCAGUUGAUGGUGCAUGCUCAGUGUGUCACAAGGGACCCGAAGAUAUGAGGCAUAUGUUGUUUCAGUUUGACUUGGCGAAGAAACUAUGGACUAGUUUGGGCCUGUUAGAUCGGAUUGAGUUUGCAGUCCAAGUGGACAGAUCAGGCUCCGCCAUUUUAAAGUUUCUAUUACUGGAGCCGGAGGAACCUUCGGUGAUCAUGCCAAGCUUAAAGGAAAAGGAGGUGAUCGCGGCUGGAUGCUAG
rnacentral:rRNA from 1 species